UCUCUCGGGAUGUCCCGGGAUGUCCCGGGAUGUUUGUUGGCUCCCCGGUGCGCCGCGCCAAUUCUCACAGCGCCGGGCGGUGUCUCUGUACGUUAACCUGGUUUGCACGAAGCAGGGAGCUCCUGGUGAUCCUCCAAAAGCUCCCUGGUCAUCAAAAGUUUACACUGUUUGCAGAUUUUAACAGAGUGCUAUCUGUCUGGAUUUAUAAGCUUCCCCCCAAUCCAGCUUUGUUGGAUUUCAUUCAGUUGAAAAGAUUAACAAGAGCAGAAAAUGCUAAACCACUCCUGCAAGUGAUGGUGGGUGCUCUGCAUUCCACCAAACUGUUGAAAUGAAUACUUUAUGGAGAGGAUCAGUUCUCUGUGUUAAAAACACAAAUGUGAAAUAGAGCCUUACCUUCUAGAAAAGCCUGCCAGCAGUUCUGCACUGCAAAAUGCAUGUGGAAAAGAUGUCACUCCAGCCUCUACUGAAUACACUGAAGCUUUCAAACAUACAUGGUAGUCUUUGAAAAGCUCUUGGACCUCCAUCAGAGACUUAGGACAUGCUGUCCUCCACUCUCCUUGAGCUCCAUGAGGGUAAAGAAACAGCUACUUCUUGCAGGAUUCCUGUGAGCUGCAUCUUUACUGUAAUUUACAUUUUGCUG